AUAGCUGCUCAGAGUCUCCCAGUUCAAAUCGAUGAGUACUGGUCUAGAAACAGAUCACAGUGCUAUUCCAGUGAGACAUGGAUGUGGAAACGGUAUCAGAGAGACAACCGCUACCAGGGUUCAACAUUUAGCAGGAGGAGCUCACAAAGAAGACAGAGUACCUAUUUCAUCAGCCGCUCGACUUUACAAAGCUUGCUCUCUCAGAGGCUGCAUUCAAUACAGUGCCGAGAAAAUUAGUUGCUUGAUUACGAACCUCAGCUUUACGCCCUUGAAGACAACUUUGAUAAUUGUGUAGACCUGGAUCCCAUAGACUUGCCUUUGAAUGAGUUUGAUCCUGAGCAGCUCUCUAAUCUUGGACCAGCAUUUAAGCAUCUGGCUUCUAUAUGUA